CCUACGGGUGGCAGCAGUGAGGAAUAUUGGUCAAUGGGCGGGAGCCUGAACCAGCCAAGUCGCGUGAGGGAAGACGGUCCUAUGGAUUGUAAACCUCUUUAGGCGGGGAGCAAUGCCGGGCACGCGUGCCCGGAGGGAGAGUACCCGCAGAAUAAGCAUGAGCUAACUCCGUGCCAGCAGCCGGGGUAGUACGGAGGAUGCUAGCGUUAUCCGGAUUUAUUGGGUUUAAAGGGUGCGUAGGCGGAUUUUUAAGUCAGCGGUAAAAGGGCGGGGCUCAACCCGGGCCGGCCGUUGAUACUGGCGAUCGUGAGUGGGCGAGAAGUAUGCGGAAGGCGAGGUGUAGCGGUGAAAUGCAUAGAUAUCACGCAGAACUCCGAUUGCGAAGGCAGCAUACCGGCGCCCGACUGACGCUGAGGCACGAAAGCGUGGGGAUCGAACAGGAUUAGAUACCCGGGGAGGC
rnacentral:rRNA from 1 species